rnacentral:rRNA from 1 species
CUGAAAGCAUCUAAGCACGAAACUUGCCCCGAGAUGAGUUCUCCCUGACCCUUUAAGGGUCCUGAAGGAACGUUGAAGACGACGACGUUGAUAGGCCGGGUGUGUAAGCGCAGCGAUGCGUUGAGCUAACCGGUACUAAUGAACCGUGAGGCUUAACCUUACAACGCCGAAG